rnacentral:rRNA from 1 species
CCUACGGGAGGCAGCAGUGAGGAAUAUUGGUCAAUGGGCGCGAGCCUGAACCAGCCAAGUAGCGUGAAGGAUGACUGCCCUACGGGUUGUAAACUUCUUUUAUAAAGGAAUAAAGUGAGGCACGUGUGACUUCCUGCAUGUACGUUCUGCACACUGACGUGCUCACGCCGUGCCAGCAGCCGCGGUAAUACGGAGGAUCCGAGCGUUAUCCGGAUUUAUUGGGUUUAAAGGGAGCGUAGAUGGGUUGUUAAGUCAGUUGUGAAAGUUUGCGGCUCAACCGUAAAAUUGCAAUUGAUACUGGCAGUCUUGAGUACAGUUGAGGUAGGCGGAAUUCGUGGUGUAGCGGUGAAAUGCUUAGAUAUCACGAAGAACUCCGAUUGCGAAGGCAGCUUACUAAACUGCCACUGACAUUGUGGCUCGAAAGUGUGGGUAUCAAACAGGAUUAGAUACCCUAGUAGUC